UCCUAGAUAUAAGUCCACUAAUAUGGACAUCGUCGAAGUCCCAACUUCGUCACCACUCCUUGUAUAAUUCUAAUAUCUAUAAGUUACACUAAAAUUUGGCUUGUAAGCAUUCAAAGAGUUCAAUUUUAGGCAGUUGUGCAAUUUCUGGUGACGUGUGUGUUUCAAAAAGAAAAGAAAAAAGGGGUUUGCUAUUAAGAAGUUUCAUAUUAUUUUUAAUUAGAGAUCAGUCGUGCUUGGCCGUCGGAUUUUAAUCCAAUGAUAGCACGUGGGAGAGAAGAAAAUGGGGGACGGCUUUCAAAUCUUAAUCUAACGGAUUUGAUACGUCAACUGAGAUUUAAAACAUUUUUCUGAAAGAUCAGACGAUUGAGAAAUAUGCACACACAAAAAACAACAACUAAGAAGUAGCAAAACUUUAAAAGAAAAGUACUUUAGCACAAUAAAAUCUAGGAACUAUAAAAAUCAACAUGCUUGGGAGCCCUCCAUCUCCACCCCUACUUAUUAAAAAUGACUAGCUAAUUAAUUGGAAUUAUAAAAUGCAUCUGUACAAAACAGC
rnacentral:lncRNA from 1 species